AAUCCGCUUACACUGAAUCGUCCGCUGGUGUAGAGUAGCAGCUCUCCUGACCUGUUUGUGUGGUGUGCGUGCAGGCACUCACACUGUAGUUUAUAAGUUAGAUAAAUACAGCAGAAACCAAACAAACUGUGCCCCUCCAGUACAAGGAACUUUGCAGUCACAGGAUUUACUUUAGCACUUCCUGGAGAAGUACUGCUGUAAACAUACAACCCACAACAGGCCACCCACUGGCAAAGAGUGCUGGAAUGCCCAGCGAGGGAGCCACUUGAAUGAAUCCAAGGAGGAGCUACAAUUAAAAAAAAAAAAAAGUAGGUGGCGCUGUGCCCACCAGGCCAAGUUUCUCCUGUCAAUACGCGGAAACCAAUCACUGUGCAGCAGCUCCUCCUCUCAGUCUGGGAGGCAAGACAUGAAAUCCUGGAGAGGCGUGAGUUCUUUGCCAACACCCAGCAGAGCCUGAGAUGGUGCUUGCCAAGUACAAAGUUUAAAUUUUAGUUUGGACUGUGGACUUGUUUCUUGUAUAUAAAGCUUCCCGCUUUCAGUGUUGACUUUGGGAAUCACAUGAAGAUUUCAGGUUUCUCCUCUGCCAUUUCCAGAUGUUCAUUUCCUUAGAAUUAAUGAGAGUAUAUUUCCUGUGUGUCAUAGGAGUUUCCUUUCCAUCUUCCUUUUUUCUUGAAGUGGAAUAUUAGACUCUGACCUCCUGUUCUUUAGCAAGUCCUUCGUCUUCUCUGGACAGUCUCUAUGGGACAAAGGUAUUUACUCCUUAUUAGCUCAGAUUUUAACAGGACUUAAAGAAGAAAGACCUUCCUGUUGGAGGAGUGUCCUGUUUGGUACCAAAAAGGACACACACUGAUCGACAAUGAAAAACAAACAGAGUGGUUUGUGUUAGCUCUGCAUUAAUAACUUUGAAACCUUGGGAAAUGCACUAAAUUUCUUCUAGGUUAUUCAUCUAUAUAGUGUGAUUAGUUAAACUGAAUUUUAGUCAGGAUAGGCUUGUUUUUGCUUUGGUAACAAAGAUGCCCCAAAUUUCAGUUAUAUAAAGAAACAAGGGUUUUCAAAUGUCCAUGGUGGAUUGGAGGUUCUUAGACCUGGGUAGAUACUUAAGGACUCAGGCUCAGUACCUUGUCAAAUGCUGCCCAAAGCAACCAACACCUCCUACAAACUUAUUAAGAUCUUGAGUUAACUGAAUAUGCAAUAUGCUUUCAGUUAGUUUCAGGUAAGUAUUUCCUAAAUAUUUUGCCAUUGAAAAACACAGGCUGCCAUCCUUUAGGCCUCAACAAACAGUUUUUUCACCUGACACUGCUUGGUUCCUAAACUAAUAACAUAUCUUUA
rnacentral:lncRNA from 1 species